rnacentral:tRNA from 1 species
UCCUGGGUGGUCCAGAGGAUAAGGCACUUGGCUGCUAACCAAAAGGUUGGUGGUUUGAGUCCACCCAGAGGUG